CUCACACACAUGAGAGAGAGCCAUCCCUCUGCAUCACACCUUUAUCCGCGUCCGCAUCACACCUCUGUCGGCGUCACCGCCACCGCCACCGGUGCCAUAUCUCCGGCAUCAACGAUACUUAGUAGGUGAUCAACGUUCCGUAGACGAUUAACGGCAGUCACAAUAGAGGGUUUUAAGGGAGAGUAGGUCGAAUGGCUUAGGAUGGUUGAAUUGUCACAUCAGACGACGAUCUGAAAACACAUGUGUGGUUAAAUGACUGAUGGUGGUGGAUAUGGUUCAACAAAUCGGCAUUGCUAUGGUUCCGACGAGAUUUUAGCAUGAUUCUGGUGACCCGGUUCAGGCUUGGAAAUGUUCCUUGGGAAUGGGAAUGAUCCUUGGAAGUCUGAAAGGCAGCGAUUUGGGGAACCGAAGACGACUAUAAACCUAGCAACGGUGGCUUUGUUAUGUGACCAAAUGUGCCGAAACGAUGGUCAAUUAAGGGUUCUGAGCACGGAUCCUUGAUAUUCAGACUUUUUUAUGCUCAUAUAUGAUUUCCGGCGGUUAAGGCGACUUUCCGGCGAGUAAAGGAUGUGGCUGCAGACCACAGUGAUUGAUUGGUGGUGGUCCUCGAGUUAGGGGAGCUGCGAGAUGAGACGACUUCUGACCGUCAGUUCUUUGUUUUCUUUGUAAAAUUGAUACUAUCAACAAUCGGUUUGAUUUCUACCUCCUUCUUCCAUCAUUUACAGUUCUGAUUUGUGUAACCCUUUCUUUUUCUCUUCUCCUGUUGCACUAUUAGGGUUUGGCCGAGAGAGAAGCAGAUGAAUGACAAUAAAAUGAAAGAAGAAAAGAAGUCAGGGUUGUGCCACGAAUGUUAAAAUAGAGUAAUUAUGUAACAAAAUUUAUUAAUUUUGCCGUUACUGUAAAUUGUAUUUUACUAUCUGAUUUUGAUGUGAUAAUCAUUUACUUUGAAGUUUGUUUGUAUUUGCAGGUGUUGAGUUCAACAGGCAAGUUUCCUACAAAAUAGUUAAUGUUAAAUUACACACCGUUGGUAAUGCAAUGUUUGGAUGUGCAUAUCUUUCGUUUACAAAUAGAUUGUUUUUGAAAAUUUGAUUGUCUGGAUUGGACCAGUUUCAGCUUUGUUUGACUCGCUCCAAACCAGUUCAUUUGGGCCCAUUAACGGAUUUUGUGCACCUCUAUUAACAAAGCUCAAGAUUGGCACUCCAUGGUGGAGCACCAAUUCUGGCUACAUGUCUCUAUUAUCUAGAGGUGUACGAAAAUUAGUCUAGGCCCAAACCAGUUCAGGUGUAAACUAGCUUGUUUUUUAACAUGGAACUAUC